GGCUUGUUGGUUUAGGGGUAUGAUUCUUGCUUAGGGUGCAAGAGGUCCUGGGUUCAAAUCCCGGAUGAGCCC
rfam:Danio rerio chromosome 4, GRCz11 reference primary assembly.